rnacentral:rRNA from 1 species
ACUCCUACGGGAGGCAGCAGUGGGGAAUAUUGCACAAUGGGCGCAAGCCUGAUGCAGCAACGCCGUGUGAGUGAAGAAGGUUUUCGGAUCGUAAAACUCUGUCCUAAGGGAAGAAACAAAUGACGGUACCUUAGGAGGAAGCCCCGGCUAACUACGUGCCAGCAGCCGCGGUAAUACGUAGGGGGCAAGCGUUAUCCGGAAUCACUGGGGCGUAAAGGGUGCGUAGGCGGCUUAGCAAGCCAGGGGUGAAAGGCAUUGGCUCAACCAAUGUAAGCCUUUGGAACUGUUAAGCUUGAGUGCAGGAGAGGUAAGUGGAAUUCCUAGUGUAGAGGUGAAAUUCGUAGAUAUUAGGAGGAACACCAGUGGCGAAGGCGACUUACUGGACUGUAACUGACGCUGAUGCACGAAAGCGUGGGUAGCGAACAGGAUUAGAUACCCUGGGAGCACAGAG